CCAGACUCCUACGGGAGGCAGCAGUGGGGAAUAUUGCACAAUGGGGGGAACCCUGAUGCAGCGACGCCGCGUGGGUGAAGGAGCACCUCGGUGCGUAAAGCCCUAUCGGCAGGGAAGAAACAGACGGUACCUGACUAAGAAGCCCCGGCUAACUACGUGCCAGCAGCCGCGGUAAUACGUAGGGGGCAAGCGUUAUCCGGAUUCACUGGGUGUAAAGGGAGCGUAGACGGCGACGCAAGUCUGGAGUGAAAGCCCGGGGCCCAACCCCGGGACUGCUCUGGAAACUGCGGCGCUGGAGUACGGGAGGGGCAGGCGGAAUUCCUGGUGUAGGAGUGAAAUCCGUAGAUAUCUGGAGGAACAUCAGUGGCGAAGGCGGCCACCUGGACCGGUAUUGACGCUGAGGCGCGAAAGCGUGGGGAGCAAACAGGAUUAGAUACCCCCGUAGC
rnacentral:rRNA from 1 species